UACAGAGGGGGCAAGCGUUGUUCGGAAUUACUGGGCGUAAAGAGUUCGUAGGCGGUUUGUCGCGUCGUUCGUGAAAACUUGGGGCUUAACUCCAAGCGUGCGGGCGAUACGGGCAGACUUGAGUACUACAGGGGAGACUGGAAUUCCUGGUGUAGCGGUGAAAUGCGCAGAUAUCAGGAGGAACACCGGUGGCGAAGGCGGGUCUCUGGGUAGUAACUGACGCUGAGGAACGAAAGCGUGGGUAGCGAACAGG
rnacentral:rRNA from 1 species